rnacentral:rRNA from 1 species
UACGUAGGGUGCGAGCGUUGUCCGGAAUUAUUGGGCGUAAAGAGCUCGUAGGCGGUCUGUCGCGUCUGCUGUGAAAUCCCGAGGCUCAACCUCGGGCUUGCAGUGGGUACGGGGAGGCUAGAGUGCGGUAGGGGAGAAUGGAACUCCUGGUGUAGCGGUGGAAUGCGCAGAUAUCAGGAAGAACACCGAUGGCGAAGGCAGUUCUCUGGGCCGUAGCUGACGCUGAGGAGCGAAAGCGUGGGGAGCGAACAGG